AUUUUCUUCACCUUUUUCCACUGAAAACAAGAGAAAGAAACUUUGUUCUUCAAGCUUUAGCAUUCGGCCAUCUUAGGGAUUUCAAUUCAAGAUUUUGGUGAUCGCUACGUGUUCGGGGAUCGUCAGCUAAGCUCGUCACACUAUCGAUAUUUUCUUUUGGUAUUUUGCUAAUUUGUUCUCAAAUAUAUGGCACGUAUAGUAUAGUUAAAAUAUUGAUUUUAGAACCAAUGUGUAUAUGUAUUUAAAAGCCAUGCGAAAAUGGCUUAUCUCUUUUGGUUUGAAUUCGGUAUUAAUGCAUAUGCUUUAACGGUCUAAAAUUGGUAUUCUAAAAUUGGUAUAUGCAUGCUGCCCAAUUUUGGUGAAUAAAUGUUGUCCAAUUUUGUAUA